GACGAACGCUGGCGGCGUGCUUAACACAUGCAAGUCGAACGGAAAGGCCCUGCUUUUGUGGGGUGCUCGAGUGGCGAACGGGUGAGUAACACGUGAGUAACCUGCGCUUGACUGUGGGAUAACUUCAGGCAACUGGGGCUAAUACCGGAUAGGAGCUCCUGCUGCAUGGGGGGGGUUGGAAAGUUUCGGCGGUUGGGGACGGACUCGCGGCUUAUCAGCUUGUUGGUGGGGUAGUGGCUUACCAAGGCAUUGACGGGUAGCCGGCCUGUGGGGGUGACCGGCCGCACUGGGACCUAGAGGCGGCCCAGACGCCUACUGGAGGAAGCAGUGGGGAAUCUUGCUCCAUGGGCGGCAGCCGGAUGCAGCAACGCCGCGGGCUGGAUGACGGCCUUAGUGUUGUAAACCGGUUGUGAGUGUGACGAUGCGUGAGUGACCGUAACCGGCAAAGAAGCACCGGCUAACUACGUGC
rnacentral:rRNA from 1 species